GGGUUGUGAGGUUAAGCGACUAAGCGUACACGGUGGAUGCCCUGGCAGUCAGAGGCGAUGAAGGACGUGCUAAUCUGCGAUAAGCGUCGGUAAGGUGAUAUGAACCGUUAUAACCGGCGAUUUCCGAAUGGGGAAACCCAGUGUGAUUCGUCACACUAUCAUUAACUGAAUCCAUAGGUUAAUGAGGCGAACCGGGGGAACUGAAACAUCUAAGUACCCCGAGGAAAAGAAAUCAACCGAGAUUCCCCCAGUAGCGGCGAGCGAACGGGGAGCAGCCCAGAGCCUGAAUCAGUGUGUGUGUUAGUGGAAGCGUCUGGAAAGGCGCGCGAUACAGGGUGACAGCCCCGUACACAAAAAUGCACAUAUUGUGAGCUCGAUGAGUAGGGCGGGACACGUGGUAUCCUGUCUGAAUAUGGGGGGACCAUCCUCCAAGGCUAAAUACUCCUGACUGACCGAUAGUGAACCAGUACCGUGAGGGAAAGGCGAAAAGAACCCCGGCGAGGGGAGUGAAAAAGAACCUGAAACCGUGUACGUACAAGCAGUGGGAGCCUCUUUUAUGGGGUGACUGCGUACCUUUUGUAUAAUGGGUCAGCGACUUAUAUUCUGUAGCAAGGUUAACCGAAUAGGGGAGCCGAAGGGAAACCGAGUCUUAACUGGGCGUUAAGUUGCAGGGUAUAGACCCGAAACCCGGUGAUCUAGCCAUGGGCAGGUUGAAGGUUGGGUAACACUAACUGGAGGACCGAACCGACUAAUGUUGAAAAAUUAGCGGAUGACUUGUGGCUGGGGGUGAAAGGCCAAUCAAACCGGGAGAUAGCUGGUUCUCCCCGAAAGCUAUUUAGGUAGCGCCUCGUGAAUUCAUCUCCGGGGGUAGAGCACUGUUUCGGCAAGGGGGUCAUCCCGACUUACCAACCCGAUGCAAACUGCGAAUACCGGAGAAUGUUAUCACGGGAGACACACGGCGGGUGCUAACGUCCGUCGUGAAGAGGGAAACAACCCAGACCGCCAGCUAAGGUCCCAAAGUCAUGGUUAAGUGGGAAACGAUGUGGGAAGGCCCAGACAGCCAGGAUGUUGGCUUAGAAGCAGCCAUCAUUUAAAGAAAGCGUAAUAGCUCACUGGUCGAGUCGGCCUGCGCGGAAGAUGUAACGGGGCUAAACCAUGCACCGAAGCUGCGGCAGCGACACUAUGUGUUGUUGGGUAGGGGAGCGUUCUGUAAGCCUGUGAAGGUGUACUGUGAGGUAUGCUGGAGGUAUCAGAAGUGCGAAUGCUGACAUAAGUAACGAUAAAGCGGGUGAAAAGCCCGCUCGCCGGAAGACCAAGGGUUCCUGUCCAACGUUAAUCGGGGCAGGGUGAGUCGACCCCUAAGGCGAGGCCGAAAGGCGUAGUCGAUGGGAAACAGGUUAAUAUUCCUGUACUUGGUGUUACUGCGAAGGGGGGACGGAGAAGGCUAUGUUGGCCGGGCGACGGUUGUCCCGGUUUAAGCGUGUAGGCUGGUUUUCCAGGCAAAUCCGGAAAAUCAAGGCUGAGGCGUGAUGACGAGGCACUACGGUGCUGAAGCAACAAAUGCCCUGCUUCCAGGAAAAGCCUCUAAGCAUCAGGUAACAUCAAAUCGUACCCCAAACCGACACAGGUGGUCAGGUAGAGAAUACCAAGGCGCUUGAGAGAACUCGGGUGAAGGAACUAGGCAAAAUGGUGCCGUAACUUCGGGAGAAGGCACGCUGAUAUGUAGGUGAAGUCCCUCGCGGAUGGAGCUGAAAUCAGUCGAAGAUACCAGCUGGCUGCAACUGUUUAUUAAAAACACAGCACUGUGCAAACACGAAAGUGGACGUAUACGGUGUGACGCCUGCCCGGUGCCGGAAGGUUAAUUGAUGGGGUCAGCGCAAGCGAAGCUCUUGAUCGAAGCCCCGGUAAACGGCGGCCGUAACUAUAACGGUCCUAAGGUAGCGAAAUUCCUUGUCGGGUAAGUUCCGACCUGCACGAAUGGCGUAAUGAUGGCCAGGCUGUCUCCACCCGAGACUCAGUGAAAUUGAACUCGCUGUGAAGAUGCAGUGUACCCGCGGCAAGACGGAAAGACCCCGUGAACCUUUACUAUAGCUUGACACUGAACAUUGAGCCUUGAUGUGUAGGAUAGGUGGGAGGCUUUGAAGUGUGGACGCCAGUCUGCAUGGAGCCGACCUUGAAAUACCACCCUUUAAUGUUUGAUGUUCUAACGUGGACCCGUGAUCCGGGUUGCGGACAGUGUCUGGUGGGUAGUUUGACUGGGGCGGUCUCCUCCUAAAGAGUAACGGAGGAGCACGAAGGUUGGCUAAUCCUGGUCGGACAUCAGGAGGUUAGUGCAAUGGCAUAAGCCAGCUUGACUGCGAGCGUGACGGCGCGAGCAGGUGCGAAAGCAGGUCAUAGUGAUCCGGUGGUUCUGAAUGGAAGGGCCAUCGCUCAACGGAUAAAAGGUACUCCGGGGAUAACAGGCUGAUACCGCCCAAGAGUUCAUAUCGACGGCGGUGUUUGGCACCUCGAUGUCGGCUCAUCACAUCCUGGGGCUGAAGUAGGUCCCAAGGGUAUGGCUGUUCGCCAUUUAAAGUGGUACGCGAGCUGGGUUUAGAACGUCGUGAGACAGUUCGGUCCCUAUCUGCCGUGGGCGCUGGAGAACUGAGGGGGGCUGCUCCUAGUACGAGAGGACCGGAGUGGACGCAUCACUGGUGUUCGGGUUGUCAUGCCAAUGGCACUGCCCGGUAGCUAAAUGCGGAAGAGAUAAGUGCUGAAAGCAUCUAAGCACGAAACUUGCCCCGAGAUGAGUUCUCCCUGACUCCUUGAGAGUCCUGAAGGAACGUUGAAGACGACGACGUUGAUAGGCCGGGUGUGUAAGCGCAGCGAUGCGUUGAGCUAACCGGUACUAAUGAACCGUGAGGCUUAACCUUACAACGCCGAAGCUGUU
rnacentral:rRNA from 1 species